CUCAUGCUGACGUGACGCUUUUUCUCCUAAAAACAUUUAAAACAUUGGUGCGUCAGCAAAAAUAAAGACACUCUGGAAUGUUAUUUCCUGAGCAAGCAGAUAAGAAGACUCUUGUAAACCAAACAGCAGCGACACUUUGGUUCCCAGUGGACGGCACGGAGAACAACAGGAAGCAAUCAUUUGACCAGAUUGGAGGCAGACGGUCGGCCUGUGCCCCCGGACUGCGAGCUUUGUGAAACCUUUACUGUCAAAAUGAAAAUAAAUGAGUUUAAGGAGCCGGAGAAAGAAAAGACGCAGAGUGAUAAUGAUGCAGCUUACUCAAGAAUGGGCGUGAACGCGGGUAAAGCACUGUGCCAACAUUGCACACAACUGGAGCUAAACCUGUGAAUUAUGAGCAAGCCACCAUG